GAGAAAAAUAGACAGCUAGGUUUGGUGACUAAGGCAGUCGGUUGAUUGUACAGGGUUAGAAGGAAUAAGUUUUAAAAAAUCACAAAAUAUUAGUAUUUAAUAUAAAACAUGACUAGAAUCAAAGCAAAUCAGUGUGCCUUUGGAGUUUCACAAAAGUGAACAGAUGCCUUUUUCCCCCUAAGUUGUACCUUACUCAGCUUUUCAGGAUUAGAUGUUCAUUGAUGACCACUCAUCUAAUAAAAGUAAACUGAUAAAAGGAAGAGCAUUAAGAUAGUGAAAGGAAAUGAUGGGGGAAAAAGUUACAGUCUGUUAAAUACAUUAAUGUAGUCACAGGCAUACCUUGGAGGCAUUGUGAGUUCAGUUCCAGACCACUGCAAUAAAACAAAUAUUGCAAUAAAAAGAACCAAAUGAAUUUUUUUGUUUCCUAAUCCAUAUGAAAGUUAUGUUUACACUGUACUAUAGUCUAUUUAGUGUGCAAUAGCAUAGGUCUAAAAAACUACAUUGCUAAAUUAAAAAAUACUUUAUUGCUGGCUGGGAAGAUGGUAGAGUAGGAGAACCCUAAGCUCACCUUGUCCCAGAGUUACUACUAGAUAACACUCACAUCAGUGUAAAUGGCCCAGAAAAUGAUUUGGAGACUGGCAGAACAAAUUCCACAGCUAAAGGUGUGGAAGAAGAAGGCCCCAUCAGAGAAGGUAGGGAGGGCAGAGAUACAGUUUGGAAGCAAAAUGAACUGCAGCUAUCUAUGGUGGGGAGGGAACUGGUGGUAAGAAGAAGGGCAAAAAACAGAGAGCUUCACACCAGAGAGCCCACACAGGGGAGACAUUUUCCCAUAGCAUUUGCUUUGAAAGCGAGAGGAGCUGCAUUUUGUGAGUUCUUACAACUGGUGGGACUUAGAGCCUGGGAUUUUACCGGUGGGACUUAAAGCCUGGGAUUUUAAAAAUCAGCAGGCUCGGGCUCUUGGAGAGCCAGGAAGUGUGGCCUAGAGAGGCAGGGAUCACAGAGAGACCCCAACAGGAACAAAAGAGCUGGCACACUCCCCCCAGUAUAAACACAGUGCCACCUGCAGGAACCAGCAUAGCACCAACACUCACUACCUAAUUUGCUUACACCAAGCCUGAUCCCUGUACUUUGGCAGAUCGCCCUUCCCAGUCACACUUGGCUCAGUCUGGGCACUGCAGGCCCCCUCCCCCAGAAGACUGGCACAGACCCCACCACACCUUGUCUCCUGACGCAUGCAUUUUGUGGGACCUCAGUUCUACCGGCAGCAGUGACACAUCUCAUUUCGCAAGCAGACCACCACACACCUCGUUAAAAUGUGUCCCACCCCACCCGGGAUCAAACACUGCCCACAACAGGCAAAGAGAGCCUCUGCAGACAACUGGAUUGAAGGAAAAAGAGGCCAGGUUCUCAACAGCAGAGCACAUGCAACACACAUGGGAGAUACUCCCUGAAGCACUAGGCCCUGGGGAACAGGGGACAUUGAACACAGGACAUUAUAGGACCUCUUCUUCAUAAGGCCAUUAACGUGAAGAGCAAGAGAUGUAGCUUACCUUCUUACCUCAGAGAAACAAAGUUAACAAAAUGAGGAGACAGAGAAAUAUGUCCAAAAUGAAAGAACAAGACCACACCGCAACAGAAGACUAAGUGAAAUGGAUAUAAUGUGCCUGCUAAAGAAUUUAAAGUAAUGAUCACUAAGAUAACUCACUGGACUUGAGAAAAGAGUGGAGUACAUCAGCGAAUGAGACACUUAACAAAGAAAACAGAACCAGAUAUCAAGAACACUAUAAAUGAGGGACACCUGGGUGGCUCAGUUGGUUAAGUGUCCAGCUUCGACUCAGGUCAUGAUCUUGGGGUUCGUGGGUUCAAGCCCUGCAUCGGGCUCUGUGCUGACAGCUCAGAGCCUGGAGCCUGUUUUGGAUUCUGUGUCUCCCUCUCUCUGUGUCCCUCCCCUGCUCCUGCUCAGUCUCUCUCAAAAAAAAAAAAAAAAAAAAAAAACACUAAAGAAAAAAAAAGGAACACAAUAAAUGAAAUUACAAUACACUUGAUGGAAUAAAUAGCAAACUAGUUGAGGCAGAGGAACAAAUUAAUGACCUGGAAGAGUAAUGGAAAGUAACCAAGCUGAGCAAAGGAGAGGAAAGGAAAUUAGGUAAAUUGAGAAUAGUUGUAGGGAACUCUGACUCCAUCAAGUUUAGUAACAUCUGCAUUAUAGGGAUCUCAGAAGAAGAAGAGAAAAGGGGAUAGAAAAUUUAUUUGAAGAAAUAAUAAUAGCUGAAAACUUCCUUCAUCUGGGAAAGGACACAAAAAUCCAAGUCUAGGAGGCGCAGAGAUCUUCCCAAAAAAAUUAAUGCAAGGAGGUCCAUACCACAAAACAUAGUAAUUAAAAUGGCAAAAAGUAGUAAUAAAAAAUUCUUAAAGCAGCAAGAGAAAAGAAGAUAGUUACAUACAAGUGAAGCCCCAUAAGCCUGUAAGCAGAUUUUGCAGCAGAAACUGCAGGCCAGAAGGGAGUGGCAUAAUAUAUUCAAAGUGCUGAAAGGGAAAAAUCUGCAGCCAAGAAUACUCUAUCCAGAAAGGCUAGCAUUCAGAAGAGAAGGAGAGAUAAAGAGUUUCUCAGACAAACAAAAUUAAAGGAGUUCAUAAGUGCUAAACCAGCCCAACAAGAAAUAUUAAAGGGAAAUCAUUGAAUGGAAAGGAAAGACCAUGAGAGGAUGAAAAGUAGAAAACACAAGAGCAGUAAAAAUGAGUAUUUCUGUAAAAAUUAAAGGAUUCAUAAAAUAAAAGGAUGUAAAAUGUGACACCAUAUACCUAAAACAUGGGGUGGGAGAGGAGUACAAAGUGGAUCACCAACUUAAUAUAGAUUACUAUAUAUAUAAGAUGUUAUAAUAAACCUAAGAGUAACCACAAAUAAAAAGCCAGUAAUAGGUAUGCAAAGAACAAAGAGAAAGGAAUUCCAGUAUAUCACUAAAGAAAACCAAUAAAUCAUGAAAGAGCAAGAGAAAAAAGGAUCAGAGAAAAUCUGUAGAAACAACCACAAAACAAGUAAUAAAAUGGCAAUAAAUACAUAUCUAUCAACAAUUACUUUGAACAUAAAUUGAAUGCUCCAGUCAAAAGACAUAAGGUGAUAGAGUGCAUUAAAAAAAAAAAAAAGACCCAUGAAUAAUGCUGCAUACAGGAGGUUCAUUUCAGACCAAAGACACCUGCAGAUUAAAAGUGAGGGGAUGGUGAAAUACUUAUCUUGUAAAUGGAUGUCAAAAGAAAGCCAAGGUAGCAAUACUUACAUUGGGCAAGAUAGACAUUAUAAUAGGCAAGGCUGUAACAGACAGACAGGGACACUAUAUAAUCAUAGAGGGGACAAUCCAGCAAGAAGAUAUAGCAAUCGUAAAUAUUUAAUGUACCCAACAUGGGAGCUCCCAAAUACAUUAAACAGUUAAUAGCAAGCAUAAAGGAAAUCAUUAGUAGUAAUGCAAUAACAGAAAGGGACUUUAUUAUCCCAUUUACAUCAAUGGACAGAUCAUCCAAACAAAAUGAACAAGGAAACAGUAGCUUUAUUUUUAAAUUAUGUUUGUUUAAGUAAUCUCUACACCCAGCAUGGGGCUUGAACUCACAACCCCUAGAUCAAGAGUCACAUACUCUUCUCACUGAGCCAGUCAGUCACACUGAAAACAGUAGCUUUAAAUGACCACUGACCAGAGGGAUUUACCGGGUAUAUUCAGAAUAUUCCAUCAUAAAACAUCAGAAUAUGCACUCUUUUCAAGUGACAUGGAACAUUCUCCACAAAAGAUCACAUAUUAGGCUACAAAACAAGUCAACAAAUUCAAGAAGAUCAGUAAUAUACAUCUUUUCUGACCACAACACUAUGAAACUAGAAAUCAACUACAAGAAACUAUCUGGAAAGAGCACUACAUGGAGGUUAAAUAACAUGGUACAACACAAUGAAUGGGUCAACCAAGAAAUCAAAGAAGAAAUCAUAAAUUUCAUGGAAACAAAUGAAAAUGAAAACACCACAGUCUAAAAUCUUCGGGAUGCAGCAAAAGUGGUUCUAAGAGGGAAGUGUAUAGUAAUACAGGGCUACUUCAAGAAGCAAGAAAAAUCUCAAACAACCUAACCUUACACCUAAAGGAGCUAGAAAAAGAAGAACAAACAUACCUAAAACCAACAGAAGGAAGGAACUAUUAAGAUUGGAACAGAAAUAGAUGACAUAGAAACAAAAACAAAAAAAUAGAACAGAUCAAUGAAAUCAGGAGCUGGUCCUUUAAAAAGAUCAACAGAAUUGACCUCUAGCCAGACUCUUCAAAAACAAACAAACAAACUUGAAUAAACAAAAUCACAAAUGAAACAGGAGGCAUAACAACCAACACCACAGAAAUACAAACAAUUAUAAAAGAAUGUUAUGAAAAAUUAUAUGCCAACAAAUUGGACAACCUAGAAGAAAUGGAUAAAUUCCUAGAAGUAUAUAAUCUACCAAAACUAAAGCAGGAAGAAAUAGAAAAUUUGAACAGACUGAUUACCAGCAAGGAAAUUGAAUGACUCAUCAAAAACUGCCAACA